GACGCCGACCGGCCUUCUUCCAGUGCGAUGCGAAAAGCGCGCGUCAUCGGUACCGCAAAUACUUUUUAAAACUUUUUUUUAAGAAUCUACAUAAAUAUACCGCGAGUGAAAAAGUUUCUAAACUUUUACUAAAAUGCUUACGCUCCUGCUGAUCGUCUUUUUUUUUAACGCGAUAACUGCACUCAAUUGCUCGGAGAAAGACAGAUACAAUUUGACCGGAUCGGUUGAGCGGGACGGUGUGUAUUCCCUUAACGGACUGCAGUUUUCCAAUCAUUAUGUGUUUAAUGAAGUAGUUGAUGGUGUUAAUUAUACUUUCGGCUGCGAUUGUAAAAGUGAACCGUGUUAUGUCAAGUGUUGUCCUUCUGGUUAUGUAAAGAAGUUUGGUGUUCCUGAAUGCAAACCGGCAAAGGGGACAUUGAAAGAACGUGUCCAAAAUAAUGAACUUACUCUCAAUUAUAUGGACACUUACAAGAAACAGUUGGACGUUAAAGAAAUGAAGUUGGUGUAUGGGAUUGACUGUGCUUUUUAUUUAGAGGAUUUGAAGUGGUAUGUUCAGGAGGACGGAAGGCUGUUUAUCCAUGUGCCUGGCAGUGUGAAUCCCUGGCAGAAGAGGGAACCCGGCGAGUACUGCAUAGACAGCUUCAUACAAGAACAUGCAGAUGGAUCGACUAGUACCAAGCUGGACGCGCUGGUGUGCUUCACAGAGGAGGAAGAUGACAGUUCGGGUUACAUCGUCAGUUCCACUUGUAUGCUGAUCUCAUCAGCGUUCUUCAUCGUGACCAUAGCGGUGUACGCGUUGCUUCCUGAGCUGCAGAAUCUGCACGGGCGGGUGCUGAUGGUGUACCUAGCCUGCAUGUGCGUGGGCUUCACUUUCAUGGCUGCCAUGCAGAUUAUGAUCACCGUCAAUAAUACCACGCUUACGAUCUGCAUGGGACUAACAUUCGUGAUCUACUUUGCUCUACUUUCUGCCUUUUUCUGGCUCAACGUCAUGUGUUUCGAUAUUUGGUGGACUUUUAGUGGCAAACGCGGUCUGUCUUUCGAGAAGCUGUCAAUGCACGCGCGUUUCUGUGCGUACGCAGCGUACGCCUUCGGGUUCCCGACCGGCUUGACGAUAAUCCUAGCGGCGCUUGAGUUCUCCGGGCUACCCUCGCACCCAGCCAUGCCCAUGUUGAGACAACAGGGAUGCUUCCUUCACGGCACAAGUAGAUUGCUUUACCUGUACGGCCCCAUAAUGAUCCUUUGCUUGGCGAACAUCGUGUUUUUCAUACUGACUGCGUGGAAGAUCACUCAGAUAAAACAACAGACGCAGCAGACCCUCAAGUCCAAGGACAGUGCUACUACGGACCACCACCGGAAUGACAGGCAAAGGCUACUUCUCUACGUAAAACUUUUCACCAUCAUGGGCGUCAGCUGGAUCCUGGAGGUCAUCAGCGGCGAAUACGCACAGACCAACAUUGUGUUUCGCAUCAUCGACGCCUACAACGUCAUGAUCGGCGUCUUUAUCUUCAUCAUCUUCGUCUGCAAGCGCAAGAUCUUCCGCCUCAUGAAGAAGAGGUUCAAUGAAACAUUUCGCAUCUCACACAGCGAUAGUGGAGACGGGCCGAUAGGCCACAGGGACGUGAGGAAUUGGAAGGAGUAUCAGCAGCAAAGAGGCAGUCUUGAUACAGUACGGACCAUCUGUUACGACUCUGAUAACAGUAGAACUAUUAAAACAUCCAAUAUUUAAAUAGCUUGAUAAACCAAACCGAUCAAAUUCACCUCUAUAUGACUAAAUGUGGCCAAAUGAAAAACGGAUAUCAAACAUAAGAAAUGCCCAAUGAAAUGACAAAAUAUUAAAAUGCUCUAAAAUACAAAAUCUAGUCAAAAGUAAGUGGUAACACGAAAAUUAUACUUGAAAGCGGUUCCCGGGCUACAAAUAAAUGGCUAAGGGUGAGACCGGGACGAACGCUACGAUAAAAAAUAAAGAGUCAAAUUAUAAAUCAGUUUAUUUAAGAAUAGUUCCUCUGUAUCGGAGUAAUGACUGCCUGUACUGUCAAAAAAUGGACAAAGUAAAGGUUAAAGGUACAACCAGAUGCGCGGGAAACCCAUGUCCCGCACACAGACGGAAACCACCUCGACACGCACGCUGUCCACCCGGGAUGAUAUCCGCAUGAACUCUCUCAAGAAUAACCAGCAAGCUUGAGUUUUCUGAACGGUCU